UACAGAGGUGCCAAGCGUUGUUCGGAUUUACUGGGCGUAAAGGGUGCGUAGGCGGUUGAGUAAGUUGGGUGUGAAAUCCCGGAGCCUAACUCCGGAAUGGCACUCAAUACUGCUUGACUUGAGGACUGGAGAGGUGACUGGAAUUCUCGGUGUAGCAGUGAAAUGCGUAGAUAUCGAGAGGAACAUCAGAGGCGAAGGCGGGUCACUGGACAGAACCUGACGCUGAGGCACGAAAGCUAGGGGAG
rnacentral:rRNA from 1 species